CUAACCCGGUCACUGCUUCAUCUUGAUGUUCAUAAUGAAGGUCAUCUUCCUUGACACUCUCCAUACUCCUACAGUUGUGUAUCUCAGUGCUGACACACUCCUCUUCAUCUUCCUCUUUAAAACACACUGACCCCAGUUCACAGUCCUCUUCCUUGAUGUCCAGACUCUCCUGUUUGGGGUGGACACUCUCCCACUCACAGUCCUCCUCCUUAACAUUUAUGGUCCUCUCCUCCAUGAUAUUCAGGUCAGCCUCACACAUCUCCUUUUUCACAUCCAUUUAAACGUUACAGUAAAUGGCAGAUUUGUCUCUCU